rnacentral:lncRNA from 1 species
UGAUAUGCUAAUACCCACAAUUCAAAUCUUCUAAGAUAACUAGCCAAAUUAGUUGCAGUUUUUUCUGGGUCUCGAAAAUUUUCAAUCCACAUUUGAGAACAAACCGCGACACCAUCCUCCUUCAUUAAGGUGGAUGGGUCAUCAGGGUCCAAAACCCUUCGAUUAUGCGUCGAAGUGAACAUAAACACUCUAAAUAAUUUGAGCCCAUUAUUUCUAGGAAUUGAAAUAUGUGACUGAGAGUUAAAUAUAUUGGUGCUGCUUAGAGGAUAAGUAGACUUUGUGAGCAACUGAUGACUCAAAAUAAAGAGCCGUUUAUGCAUUGGAAAGUGAAAAUCUUACCGGUUCGACGGGUUCGAUUCUGAGUGAGAUUUUCUCUCAACAAUGGAGUUUGACAAACCCUACCUGAAGAACAAUUUAUGUUGAUUAUCUCUAACUUCAGUUGAGCACGAACUGUUUGAUAAAAUGUCUGUAAGAAAAUAAGGACUGAUUAAUUGAGAACGGAAGUAAGCCCACGUAAAAUAAAUAUGGCGAACUGUUCCCAAUUAGGCUGUGUGUGUGGACGGUGCAAGUGGCUUUAGCCAUUUGUUUGGCUCCCCUAACCAGUAGAUUUUUUAACUAAUGCGAUUAACUUAAUUCUUAUUAUUGCAACUAAAUUUUAAUUCGUUCCCUAAACUUUAACCAAAAAAUCAAUUUGAACCCUACACUUUAUUUUAAAUUAUUUACCCUUAUAGCAAAGGAACAAAAUGAACACUUCGCAUUUUUUUAGGCCAAUUUUUUGACAAAAAAACACAAGCUAAAGGAAUAUUAUUAGGGAUAUUCCUUAAAGAUUUUCACACUAUAGAUAGUUAAUAUGAGAAAUCGAGAGAUGGGGUAUGUAUUUUUAGGUGAAUGUUUGGCCAUAAAAUGAUGCGGGGUGGACUUUGUUUUCUCGCUUAAAAUAUAGGGUGCAUUUAAUUUAAAACAAAAUGUAUGUGCACAUUAAUUUUAGAGUUAAAGUUUAUAAUGCAAACUAUAAUUUAGUCUAUUAUUGCUUUUAUUUAUAUAAGUAGGUUAUGUUUGGUAAUGAAAAAGUAGUUAAACUAUUACAAAAGUAAAAGGUAUUUAGUGUUAAGAAAUUGUUUAUCACUUAUUUUAAAUGUAAAUUACUAAAAAAAAUGGAUGGACCUAUUAAAAUAAAUAGGGAUAUUUGGUCAAAUCUGAUUGUUAGACUUUGACAAAUAAUCACAAACACCAAAUUGGUGCUUCUGAUUAUCAGAAAUUUCAAAAAGUAAAUUAUAAACCAAUUUAAGUACUUAUAACCAAUCUCAAACACCCUCUUAAUCAAUUUACAUAUUAGACCAAUUCAUUUUCAGUAUACUACAAUUUUAUUAAUUGCUUUAUUAAAAUCACAUCAUUACAAGUCUAGAUCAUAUUACUAAAAAUGUGAAAUUACAACACUUUCAAAAUAUUUUUCUUUUUUUUACAUGUUGGGGUAUGAUUAUUUGGGCUCGGUUGAUAUGGUGAGCCAAAGUUCACGUGAAGGUAUUUAUGUGACAACCCGAGAAUUUGAAUAUUUAUUAAAAUCUUAAAAGAUUGAAUUAAGGUUAAAUAAUAAACCUAGACAGAAAAUAAGUGAAUGGAUUUGAUAUUUUCAGGAAGUAAUUUUAUGGAUUUAAAAAAAAUUUUGGAGAAUUAUUCAGGAUUAAGGGUUUAAGUGUAUAUGUUCUGUAUAUAUGGUUGUAUAUGUGUACAGUAUGUGGUUAAGGGUCAGGGGUUGACCAAAUAACCUAUAUAUAUCAGUGGCAAACCCUAAUAUUAUAUUAAGAACGUCAACGUUCAUUUAGAAAAUUCUUACGAUUUAUAAGAAACCCUAAAACCGGUUCUAGAAAUCCUAAUUUCAGUUUUGGGAAAUCCGAAACCUUAAUUCAGAAUUUGAAAACCCUAAAUUGGGAACUUAAUGGCUUAAGUGUAUUGAUUAUAAACUUAAUUAGGGUAAAACCUAACAAAAUAGUUAGAAAACCCUAAUUUGUAAAAUUAUAAAACUCUAAUUGCAAAAUUAGGAACCCUAAUUGCUAAUUAAGAAAGUUUUGUGUUAAUUAGGAAAUAUUAAUGUGACGAACAAAAUUUUUGUAAUUUAAUUCUUAAUAUUUAGCGAAGUAACUAAAUAUUUUCGAUGAUUUAAUUAUUAGAUUAAAUAAUUAAUUGAUGCAAUUGUGAUCCGAGCACGACUGUUAGCAGCUCAAGAUAGGCAGAAGAAACACGCUGAUCCACAUCGUAAAAACGUUGAGUUUGAAUCGGGUAGUUAUGUGUUCUUAAAGGUCUCUCCUUGAAAAGGAAAGAUCAGGUUCGAAAAGAAAGGGAAAUUAAGCCCAAGAUUCAUUGGACCAUUUGAAGUACUACGGAGAAUCGGAGAAGUCGCGUAUGAGGUUGCCUUACCUCCAUCACUCGAGAAUGUCCACAACGUCUUCCAUGUUUAUGUGUUACGACCCUACAAAACCGAUUACAAGCAUGUAAUUGAAUACGAACCCCUACAUUUUGAAAAAGACUUAUCUUACGAAGAAAUUUCUGUUCAAAUUGUCGACCAAAAAGAACAAGUUUUCAGAAAUAAAGUAAUACCUUCUGUUAAGAUAAUUUGGAGGAACCACAACGCUGAAGAAGCUACGUGGGAACUCGAAGAGAAUAUGAUGAAGAAUUACCCUCAUUUAUUUACUUAAUUUAUGUGUAAGCGAUUCUGGGGACAUAAUCUUUGUAAGGGAGGAGAAUGUAACGGGUCAAAUUUAUUGAGUCGUGAUUCUGGGGACAGAAUCCUUUUAAGGGGGGAAAGAUGUGACGAACAAGAUUUUUAUAAUUUAAUUCUUAAUAUUUAUCGAAGUAAAUAAAUAUUUUCGAUGAUUUAAUUAUUAGAUUAAAUAAUUAAUUGAUGCAAUUAUGAUAGAUUAAUUUAGUGAUAUGUAUUAUAUUUAUUAAAUUAAUGUAGAGAAUUUUAUUAUUCAAAGUUUGUAAUUAUGUGAGUUUAUUAAAUUAAAAUAAAUAUUUAAUAAACCUAAUGUUAUUUUAAUUAAUAUAAUAAUUAAUUAGAGAUUUAAUAAUUUGAUAUAAUUAAUUAAUGAGAAAAUUAAUUAUGUGACUAUGUGAAUUAAUGAGAAUUUAUUAUAUUUUAUUUAAUUUAAAUUAAAUAAAUUAAUUGAGUUAUUUUAUAAAGGGUNNNNNNNNNNNNNNNNNNNNNNNNNNNNNNNNNNNNNNNNNNNNNNNNNNNNNNNNNNNNNNNNNNNNNNNNNNNNNNNNNNNNNNNNNNNNNNNNNNNNUCAAAUCUUCUAAGAUAACUAGCCAAAUUAGUUGCAGUUUUUUCUGGGUCUCGAAAAUUUUCAAUCCACAUUUGAGAACAAACCGCGACACCAUCCUCCUUCAUUAAGGUGGAUGGGUCAUCAGGGUCCAAAACCCUUCGAUUAUGCGUCGAAGUGAACAUAAACACUCUAAAUAAUUUGAGCCCAUUAUUUCUAGGAAUUGAAAUAUGUGACUGAGAGUUAAAUAUAUUGGUGCUGCUUAGAGGAUAAGUAGACUUUGUGAGCAACUGAUGACUCAAAAUAAAGAGCCGUUUAUGCAUUGGAAAGUGAAAAUCUUACCGGUUCGUUUCUGAGUGAGAUUUUCUCUCAACAAUGGAGUUUGACAAACCCUACCUAAAGAACAGUUUAUGUUGAUAAUCUCUAACUUCAGUUGAGCACGAACUGUUUGAUAAAAUGUCUGUAAGAAAAUAAGGACUCUGAUUAAUUGAGAACGGAAGUAAGCCCACGUAAAAUAAAUAUGGCUAACCGUUCCCAAUUAGGCUGUGUGUAUGGACGGUGCAACGUGCAAGUGGCUUUAGCCAUUUGUUUGGCUCCCCUAACCUGUAGAUUGUUUAAAUAAUGCGAUUAACUUGGUUCUUAUUAUUGCAACUAAAUUUUAAUUUGUUCCCUAAACUUUAACCAUUAAAUCAAUUUGAACCCUACACUUUACUUUAUUUU